AACCAAACCCAAAUCUGAAAAUUUAGUAUCUACAUCUUCAAAAAGAAAAAAGAGCCUCUUUUAUCAACAUAUGUUGUGAAAUAUUAAGAAGAAUUUCGGUGUAAAUCAAUUUGAUCUUACUGUGGAUAGCUAGAGAUCGAGCUGAAGCUGGAGCCGUGAAAGUAAGAAGAGUGAACACCAAGAGAAUGAUAGCCAUAAGGAACGCCUUCAUUUUGGACAUCAUUAUUGAGAUUAAAGAUUUUGCUUGAUUCAUUUUCCAUUUUAUAGUCACUUCAAAGCUUC
rnacentral:lncRNA from 1 species